CCUACGGGUGGCUGCAGUGGGGAAUAGUGCGCAAUGGGCGAAAGCCUGACGCAGCGACGCCGCGUGAGGGAUGAAGGUCUUCGGAUCGUAAACCUCUGUCAGCAGGGAAGAAAGGUCACGGUGCUAAUCAGCAGUGAAUUGACGGUACCUGCAAAGGAAGCACCGGCUACCUCCGUGCCAGCAGCCGCGGUAAUACGGAGGGUGCGAGCGUUAAGCGUAAUUACGGGGCGUACAGCGCUCGUAGGCGGUAUGUCAAGUCAAGGGUGAAAUCCCCGCGCUCAACGUGGGAACUGCCUUUGAAACUGGCAAACUGGCGUGUGUGCGCGGAUAGUGGAAUUC
rnacentral:rRNA from 1 species